AUUGAACGCUGGCGGCAGGCCUAACACAUGCAAGUCGAGCGGAUGAAGGGAGCUUGCUCCUGGAUUCAGCGGCGGACGGGUGAGUAAUGCCUAGGAAUCUGCCUGGUAGUGGGGGAUAACGUCCGGAAACGGGCGCUAAUACCGCAUACGUCCUGAGGGAGAAAGUGGGGGAUCUUCGGACCUCACGCUAUCAGAUGAGCCUAGGUCGGAUUAGCUAGUUGGUGGGGUAAAGGCCUACCAAGGCGACGAUCCGUAACUGGUCUGAGAGGAUGAUCAGUCACACUGGAACUGAGACACGGUCCAGACUCCUACGGGAGGCAGCAGUGGGGAAUAUUAGACAAUGGGCGAAAGCCUGAUCCAGCCAUGCCGCGUGUGUGAAGAAGGUCUUCGAAUUGUAAAGCACUUUAAGUUGGGAGGAAGGGCAGUAAGUUAAUACCUUGCUGUUUUGACGUUACCAACAGAAUAAGCACCGGCUAACUUCGUG
rnacentral:rRNA from 1 species